AUGUCAACAUGCUUAAAUGCCUUUGUCUGCUGUAAUAAAACCUACCCUCUACCUCAAAAGCUCUCUAAUGAAAUGUACAUUUAUGUAUCUGCGUUACAGGUUAUUCACAAGUGGCUCCAGUCUGGUUUGGGGGUCUACGCUUUCUCAUCCUGUCCUGCCACCCAAGUGAAGUAAGCUAUACAGUUUUACAUUUGAUUUAUUUGACUUUUGGUCUAAACAUUAAUAAUAAAAAUAACCAUAUGCCUCUGUAACUGGUGUUACUAGUUCAGGAGGACGAAGUGAAGGUAAAUGUCAACAUGCUUAAAUGCCUUUGUCUGCUGUAAUAAAACCUACCCUCUACCUCAAAAGCUCUCUAAUGAAAUGUACAUUUAUGUAUCUGCGUUACAGGUUAUUCACAAGUGGCUCCAGUCUGGUUUGGGGGUCUACGCUUUCUCAUCCUGUCCUGCCACCCAAGUGAAGUUAUUCACAAGUGGCUCCAAUUUGGUUUGGGGGUCUACGCUUUCUCAUCCUGUCCUGCCACCCAAGUGAAGUUAUUCACAAGUGGCUCCAGUCUGGUUUGGGGGUCUACGCUUUCUCAUCCUGUCCUGAGUGAUUCUUGACAUUGAAAUUAUAUCAAAAUUUGUCAAUAAAUGUUCAUACUUUUGUCAUUAA